GACAGAGACCAUGUUGUUGAGGCUAGGGAUGAAUUACACAGAAUGUUGAAUGAGGAUGAACUGGGAGAUGCAGUGUUGCUCGUAUUUGCAAACAAGCAAGAUCUUCCGAACGCAAUGAACGCUGCUGAAAUAACCGAUAAGCUUGGCUUCCAUUCCCUUAGACGACGUCACUGGUACAUCCAGAGCACCUG